AGCAACCAAGAAGCUUCUAUAAGAAGAGGCCGUGUCUGGCCCCUGCCCUGUACCCAACACAACUGGUUUUAAAUGGUGUAAACCAGUUACAGAUGGUUCUACCACAGCCAAAUCCCAGGAGCGAAGCUGGUAGGAAAAUGCAUUUAAGAAAGGGCAGGAAAUACCAACAGAUAUAGGGGGAAAGAAAAGAGUGAAAAGUAACAGAGUGAGCAGCAAAGUCAGAGAAGGAGGAAAAAGUGUGUUGUGGUUGAGCAGAAUUUUUGCAGCCUAUGGAGGACCCCAUACCAGAGCAGAUGGCAAUUUCCUGAAAGAGCUAUAGUCUGCAAAGAAUCCAUAUUAGAGCAGAUUUUCUUCUGAAAGACUGCGACCUGGGGAGAACCCACACUGGAGCAACAGAAAAGUAUGAGAGGAAAGGAGCAGCAGAGAGGUGUUGUGGACUGAUCAUUCUCCCUUGGCUAUCUGGAGGUGGGAAGAGUCUGGAGUGAAGCUGAGCAUAGGAAAAAGGAGUUGAAGAGGAAAAACUCUUGACAAGUACUGAUCUUAUAGGAUGAAAUAGUAUGACGCUUUGCAGUAAUAAAUGCUGAGAUCAUGUCCAUGUUUGAUUCAGUAAUGGUUGUCAGGUGCAGGCUGUAAUUGCACUACUGCUCACAGGCAAGAGUUCUGAAGCCAGAUGACAAAAAGGGUUUGUGAAUGUUGGACAUGAAAUUUCACUCAAUGCAUAAGAUCCCUUUUCAAAGUUGAUAGUCCACUGAGUUGGUAAUUUAAUACUAUUUAUUUAUUAUUAGCAAAAUUGCCGAUCUUACAAACAGUUCUCAGAUUUACUGAAUAUUAUAUUCAGAGCUUUAGCUAAAUCUUUUGUUUUCUUGUUUCAUUACCUGACAUUUAUCUCUGAUCACUCCAGAUGAGUUUUCAGAUCAUUAUCCAUGACAGUGGCAUUUCUGUGAUGACCUUAAUGAAAAUGUACUCUAUUAUCUAGGGUGACUAAAGUGGUUGUUUACUUUUGUAUUUAAAAUCUUCCUAUAGUUACUCUAUAUAGGAAUCUUAGUUUUCUGCUGGCAUCAGAUCAAAACUCUCAAAGCUGUGUAUUUGUUAUGUUACUAUUCUCAUGACCAGAAUCAGGAGAAAAUGAUCACUUACCAAGCAUGACAAUUACUGAAACUGUUUGGUUUUAGACAGUUUAUCAAACCUUUGUUUUACAGCAUCUGGAAAAAAUAUUGUUAGUAAGCCUGAAGAAUAUUCACAUGGACAAAUAUUUGUCCUAGGUAUAGGAUAUGGAAGUUGUGUGAAGUUAAAAUAUUUAUAUUCUAUGCCAUCCAUUUUCUCGAAUUGUGUUGCUGUGUGACUGAUUCUAUACUUCCCUUAUUUUUCUACUCUUUAUUAUUUUAAUCUAUUAAUCUGAAUAAAAUAAAGUGAAAUAAAUAUUA